rnacentral:rRNA from 1 species
AGAGUUUGAUCCUGGCUCAGGAUGAACGCUGGCGGCGUGCCUAAUACAUGCAAGUCGAGCGAACAGACGAGGAGCUUGCUCCUCUGACGUUAGCGGCGGACGGGUGAGUAACACGUGGAUAACCUACCUAUAAGACUGGGAUAACUUCGGGAAACCGGAGCUAAUACCGGAUAAUAUAUUGAACCGCAUGGUUCAAUAGUGAAAGACGGUUUUGCUGUCACUUAUAGAUGGAUCCGCGCCGCAUUAGCUAGUUGGUAAGGUAACGGCUUACCAAGGCAACGAUGCGUAGCCGACCUGAGAGGG